GAUCUCUCGAUGACCACCUGUGGCGAAGGCGGUCUACCAGAACACGUCCGACGGUGAGGGAUGAAAGCUGGGGGAGCAAACCGGAUUAGAUACCCGGGUAGUCCCAGCUGUAAACUAUGCAAACUCAGUGAUGCAUUGGCUUGAUGCCAAUGCAGUGUUGCAGGGAAGCCGUUAAGUUUGCCGCCUGGGAAGUACGUACGCAAGUAUGAAACUUAAAGGAAUUGGCGGGGGAGCACCACAAGGGGUGAAGCCUGCGGUUCAAUUGGAGUCAACGCCAGAAAUCUUACCCGGAGAGACAGCAGAAUGAAGGUCAAGCUGAAGACUUUACCAGACAAGCUGAGAGGUGGUGCAUGGCCGUCGCCAGCUCGUGCCGUGAGAUGUCCUGUUAAGUCAGGUAACGAGCGAGAUCCUUGCCUCUAGUUGCCACCAUUACUCUCAGGAGUAGUGGGGCGAAUUAGCGGGACCGCCGUAGUUAAUACGGAGGAAGGAAGGGGCCACGGCAGGUCAGUAUGCCCCGAAACUCUGGGGCCACACGCGGGCUGCAAUGGUAACGACAAUGUGUUCCGAAUCCGAAAGGAGGAGGUAAUCCUCAAACGUUACCACAGUUAUGACUGAGGGCUGCAACUCGCCCUCACGAAUAUGGAAUCCCUAGUAACUGCGUGUCAUUACCGCGCGGUGAAUACGUCCCUGCUCCUUGCACACACCGCCCGU
rnacentral:rRNA from 1 species